GCCGAGGUGGCGGAAUUGGUAGACGCGCUAGCUUCAGGUGCUAGUGGCCGUAAGGUCGUGGAAGUUCAAGUCUUCUCCUCGGUACCA
rnacentral:tRNA from 1 species